rnacentral:rRNA from 1 species
UGGGGAAUAUUGCACAAUGGGCGCAAGCCUGAUGCAGCGACGCCGCGUGGGGGAUGACGGCCUUCGGGCUGUAAACCUCUUUCAGCAGGGACGAAGCGAAAGUACGGUACCUGCAGAAGAAGCACCGGCCAACUACGUGCCAGCAGCCGCGGUAAUACGUAGGGUGCGAGCGUUGUCCGGAAUUACUGGGCGUAAAGAGCUCGUAGGUGGUUUGUCGCGUUGUUCGUGAAAACCGGGGGCUUAACCCUCGGCGUGCGGGCGAUACGGGCAGACUAGAGUACUNCAGGGGAGACUGGAAUUCCUGGUGUAGCGGUGGAAUGCGCAGAUAUCAGGAGGAACACCGGUGGCGAAGGCGGGUCUCUGGGCAGUAACUGACGCUGAGGAGCGAAAGCGUGGGGAGCGAACAGGAUUA